rnacentral:rRNA from 1 species
UUUAUGGAGAGUUUGAUCCUGGCUCAGGAUGAACGCUGGCGGCGUGCCUAAUACAUGCAAGUCGAGCGAACAGAUAAGGAGCUUGCUCCUUUGACGUUAGCGGCGGACGGGUGAGUAACACGUGGGUAACCUACCUAUAAGACUGGAAUAACUCCGGGAAACCGGGGCUAAUGCCGGAUAACAUGUUGAACCGCAUGGUUCUACAGUGAAAGACGGUCUUGCUGUCACUUAUAGAUGGACCCGCGCCGUAUUAGCUAGUUGGUGGGGUAACGGCCUACCAAGGCGACGAUACGUAGCCGACCUGAGAGGGUGAUCGGCCACACUGGAACUGAGACACGGUCCAGACUCCUACGGGAGGCAGCAGUAGGGAAUCUUCCGCAAUGGGCGAAAGCCUGACGGAGCAACGCCGCGUGAGUGAUGAAGGUCUUCGGAUUGUAAAGCUCUGUUGUUAGGGAAGAACAAAUGUGUAAGUAACUGUGCACAUCUUGACGGUACCUAACCAGAAAGCCACGGCUAACUACGUGCCAGCAGCCGCGGUAAUACGUAGGUGGCAAGCGUUAUCCGGAAUUAUUGGGCGUAAAGCG